rnacentral:lncRNA from 1 species
UUUACAUGCACCUACACAAAUAUGCAGAUAAGGGAAAAUCAAAGGAUUUUGCCUUGCACGUUAACAGAAGCCUUACACAGGGCACUUGGAGUGCAGAAGGAGUAUGCCCUGAAUGCCAGCCAAAUGAAAGAAGACAGCUGAGGGGAAUUCCAGCUGUUAUGGGGAAUGAUGCUGCAGAAGGACUGCUUAGUUUGGAGCAUUUCUAUUCCAGUGGUGCAAUGACAAGUAAAUCAACAGGUUUCAACAAUCUGUAUUUGUUAGUCUAG